CAGCCGUAAACUAUGCGCGUUAGGUGUACUGGUGACCACGAGUCACCGGGGUGCCGAAGGGAAACCGUGAAACGUGCCGCCUGGGAAGUACGGUCGCAAGGCUGAAACUUAAAGAAAUUGGCGGGGGAGCACCACAACGGGUGGAGCCUGCGGUUUAAUUGGACUCAACGCCGGAAAUCUCACCGGAUAGGACAGACAUAUGAUAGUCGGGCUGAAGACUCUACUUGAUGAUCUGAGAGGUGGUGCAUGGCGUCAGUGACU
rnacentral:rRNA from 1 species